UAGAAGUUAGUGAACAAAAUGAUGGAUGGGUGAAGACGAGGACGCUUGAGUAAUACUGAGUCAACAUGCCUGCUUCCAAUUUGAACUGCUCGAAUGAAUUCCGCCUUGGAUGUUAGGGCUGGUGGUUGUAAGGUGAUAUUGUUUGAAUUCGGUUGUGUAUGCUCCAGGUAGACGGUUUCGAGGGGUGAUGUAGCUGCUGAAUGUAUAUGAGAAUAUGGUACUGACUGGUGGAUGGGGU